GUGGGAGCCAGCCUGCUGGCGAUAACGUCCUGUCAGUCAGCGUCUUUGUGACUGUUACAUCGCUAUCGCCAGCAGGCUGGCUCCCAC
rnacentral:misc_RNA from 1 species